rnacentral:rRNA from 1 species
CGACGUAGGGCGCGAGCGUUUGUCCGGAAUUAUUGGGCGUAAAGAGCUCGUAGGCGGUCUGUCGCGUCGGAUGUGAAAAUCCAGGGCUUAACCCUGGGCCUGCAUUCGAUACGGGCAGACUAGAGUUCGGUAGGGGAGACUGGAAUUCCUGGUGUAGCGGUGAAAUGCGCAGAUAUCAGGAGGAACACCGGUGGCGAAGGCGGGUCUCUAGGCCGACACCGACGCUGAGGAGCGAAAGCGUGGGGAGCGAACAGG